rnacentral:pre_miRNA from 1 species
GGUAUUUAAAAGGUGGAUAUUCCUUCUAUGUUUAUGUUAUUGAUGGUUAAACAUAGAGGAAAUUCCACGUUUUCAGUAUC